GUUUGGGAACCACUGCUUAGGCAGCGAAAGCACACUGUGACAGAGAAGCAAGUGUAGGUGUAACUCCCCUUUCUGCAGACACAAUGAUAACCAGUUGUAAAGGGCGAGCACAACGGCAAGGGGCUGGUGCUGGAAGGCAACACCAGCAACUUUCACCAUCCCCAUCCCCUUCACCAUCACCCUCCCCCUCUCCGGCCCAAUCACCCUCUCCUGCCCAAUCACCCUCUCCUGCCCAAUCCCCCUCUCCUGCCCAAUCCCCCUCUCCGGCCCAAUCACCCUCUCCUGCCCAAUCCCCCUCUCCGGCCCAAUCACCCUCUCCUGCCCAAUCCCCCUCUCCGGCCCAAUCACCCUCUCCAGCCCAAUCCCCCUCUCCUGCCACCUCUCCCUCUCCUGCCACCUAUGCCUCACCUGCACAAACCCCCUCUGCAGACCACACCCCCUCUCCAGCCCAAGCCCACAGUUUGGACAAAUUCCCCUCUCUGCCCCCCUCAUCCGCUGUGUCCCUAAAUAACUCACCCACACCCUCACCCUAUAAUUCAAAAUCCCACUCUCUAACUACAUCCCCCUUCCAUCCACUCACACAAUUUGACCCUCCUUCCCCCAUCCUGCCUCCUUCCCCCAUCCAGCACCCAUCCCCCAUCCAGCCAACCUCACCCCUCCAGCCUCAAUCCCCCAGCCAGCAACCACCACCCAUCCAGCCUCCAUCACCCAGCCAGCAACCACCACCCAUCCAGCCUCCAUCACCCAGCCAGCCGACGUCGCAGACAGAAUGGGCAGCAGAGGCCCCGGAGCCACUACAGGGAAGUGUCCAAGUGGCAGAGGAGAAUGUUGCCAUUAGAGAUCCCUCAAGCCUGGCAGGCAUAAUUGCAAGAAUGCAGUCGAAUUUGGAGGCCAUGUUGGCUGAACUGAAUAAUUUAAAAGAAUUUGUUCUCAAGAAAUAAAACUGUUUUUUUGUUAAAAAUUAUUCUUAAAAGAUUUUUGUUUAA